AGCCCUAUGUAUCCGUGCUGAGAUUUCGUCAACGAUCAACCCGUUGGGGCUGAUACAACUUGCCAGGUAAGUGAAGCG
rnacentral:pre_miRNA from 1 species